rnacentral:rRNA from 1 species
GAUGAACGCUAGCUACAGGCUUAACACAUGCAAGUCGAGGGGAAACGACAUCGAAAGCUUGCUUUUGAUGGGCGUCGACCGGCGCACGGGCGAGUAACGCGUAUCCAACCUGCCCAUCACUUGGGAAUAACCUUGCGAAAGUAAGACUAAUACCCAAUGACAUCCCACGAAGACAUCUGAAUGGGAUUAAAGAUUUAUCGGUGAUGGAUGGGGAUGCGUCUGAUUAGCUUGUUGGCGGGGUAACGGCCCACCAAGGCAACGAUCAGUAGGGGUUCUGAGAGGAAGGUCCCCCACAUUGGAACUGAGACACGGUCCAAACUCCUACGGGAGGCAGCAGUGAGGAAUAUUGGUCAAUGGGCGAGAGCCUGAACCAGCCAAGUAGCGUGCAGGAUGACGGCCCUAUGGGUUGUAAACUGCUUUUAUAAGGGAAUAAAGUGGGUCUCGUGAGACUUUUUGCAUGUACCUUAUGAAUAAGGACCGGCUAAUUCCAUG